rnacentral:rRNA from 1 species
UACGUAGGGGGCGAGCGUUGUCCGGAUUUAUUGGGCGUAAAGAGCGCGUAGGCGGAGCGUUAAGUCUGGCCUGAAAGCCCCCGGCUCAACCGGGGAAGGUGGCUGGAAACUGGCGUUCUUGAGGGCGACAGAGGAGAGUGGAAUUCCUGGUGUAGCGGUGAAAUGCGUAGAUAUCGGGAGGAACACCUAUGGCGAAAGCAGGUUUCUGGUCCGUCACUGACGCUGAGCUGCGAAAGCUAGGGGAGCAAACAGG